rnacentral:lncRNA from 1 species
AGAAAAAGGAAACCUGGUCCGAAAAAGGGAAAACUUGGUCGUCCGAAAAAAGGGAAAACUGGCCCAGUUGAACCUGCAGAACCAGAGGAGCACGAAGAACAAUCAGCUCAGGAAAUGUCCCCAGUUGAAGAUGAAGGUGCAGAAAUGGAGGCGGACCAGGGGCAAUCGGCUCUGGACAUGUGUGAAGCGAAACCUGGCACAAGUGUCCGGUGUGGUUCGAGAAAAAGAAAACCUGGUAGUCUGAAAAAAGGAGAACCUGGCUGUGCGAAAAAAGGGAGACCUGGUCGUUCAAAAAAGGGAAAACCUGGUCCAAACGAACCUGCAGAACCAGAGGAACAAGACGAAGGUGCAGAAAUGGAGGUGGACCAAGGGCAAUCAGCUUUGGACAUGUCUGAAGGGAAAGAUCGAGCUGCUGAAAUGGAGCAACAAGAAGAGUCAGCUCUGGGCAUGUCUGAACCUAAAGAUGAACCUACAGAAAUGGAGGAGCACCAGGAAGAGUCGGCUCAGGGCAUGUCUGAACCUAAAGAUGAGCCUGCAGAAAUGGAGGAGCAACAGGAACGGUCAGCUCUGGACAUGACUGAAGCCGAAGACAAACCUGCGGAGAUAGUGGAGCACCUGGAAGAGUCAGCUCUGGACAUGACUGAAGCUGAAGACAAACCUGCAGAGAUGAAGGAGCACCAGGACCGGUCAGCUCAGGACAUGACUGAAGCCAAAGACAAGCCUGCAGAGAUGGAGGUUCACCAAGAACAGCCAGCUCUAGAUAUGUCUGUAGAUGAAGACGGGCUUGCAGAAAUGAAGGGGCACCGAGGACAGUCAGCUCAGGACAUGC